AUAAUGAAUGAUUGACAUUAAAGUGGAGAAAAUAGUUCAGCUAGGCCAACGCUACCUGUUCGUGUCAUUAGCAUUUUCUUUCUUUCUUUCUUUCUUUCCCCCCCCCCCUUUUUCUUUUUUCCUUUUCUU
rnacentral:ribozyme from 14 species